AGGAUGUGGUUCAAUUCGAUGCUACGCGAAGAACCUUACCUGGGCUUGACAUGCAGGUGGUAGUGACCCGGAAGGGAAGCGACCGGGUUUAUCCCUGGAGCCUGCACAGGUGCUGCAUGGCUGUCGUCAGCUCGUGCCGUGAGGUGUAUGGUUAAGUCCCGCAACGAGCGCAACCCCUGCCCCUAGUUGCUAACCCGCGAGGGUGCACUCUAGGGGGACUGCCUCCGUCAAGGAGGAGGAGGGUGGGGAUGAUGUCAAGUCAUCAUGGUCCUUAUGCCCAGGGCUACACACGUCCUACAGUGGCCGUUACAAUGGGAAGCUACAUCGCGAGGUGAUGCCAAUCCUGUAAAAGCGGCCAUGGUUCGGAUUGCAGGCUGCAACUCGCCUGCAUGAAGAUGGAAUCGCUAGUAAUCACUGAUCAGCAUGCAGUGGUGAAUACGUUCCCGGGUCUU
rnacentral:rRNA from 1 species